UACGGAGGGUGCGAGCGUUAAUCGGAAUUACUGGGCGUAAAGCGCACGUAGGCGGUCAGGCAAGUCGGGUGUGAAAGCCCUGGGCUCAACCUGGGAAUUGCAUUCGAAACUAUCUGACUCGAGUAUGGGAGAGGGAAGCGGAAUUUCCGGUGUAGCGGUGAAAUGCGUAGAUAUCGGAAGGAACACCAGUGGCGAAGGCGGCUUCCUGGACUAAUACUGACGCUGAGGUGCGAAAGCGUGGGGAGCAAACAGG
rnacentral:rRNA from 3 species